AACGAACGCUGGCGGCAGGCUUAACACAUGCAAGUCGAACGCCCGUAGCAAUACGGGAGUGGCGGACGGGUGAGUAACGCGUGGGAACGUGCCCUAAGGUACGGAAUAACUGCGGGAAACUGCAGCUAAUACCGUAUGUGCCCGAAAGGGGAAAGAUUUAUCGCCUUAGGAGCGGGCCGCGUCGGAUUAGCUAGUUGGUGGGGUAACGGCCUACCAAGGCUUCGAUCCGUAGCUGGUCUUAGAGGACGAUCAGCCACACUGGGAGUGAGACACGGCCCAGACUCCUACAGGAGGCAGCAGUGGGGAAUCUUGCGCAAUGGGCGAAAGCCUGGCGCAGCCAUGCCGCGUAAGCGAUGAAGGCCUUAGGGUUGUAAAGUUCUUUUGCCCGUGACGAUGAUGACGUUAACGGGAGAAUAAGCUCCGGCUAACUUCGUGCUAGCAGCCGCGGUAAGAC
rnacentral:rRNA from 1 species